CGUCUGGGCCCAGUGAAGGCAUAGGGGCUCACCGAGUCCACCGUUUCAUGCUGCGAGAAGCCCACGGGCGCGAUGCCAUAGAUGCACACGGCUAGAAUGGUGACGAGCGAGUGCACGAAGGUGCGGUUGGUGAGCCGUCCCACCAUGCCCAGCCCAUACGGCCGCUUCUCCCGGGCGAAGAGCUUGCGCACCGGCACCGCGAUACGCUGGCCCCGUCGCGGCCCCGCGGUGCUCACCACCUCCUGUCGGAGCCGCACCUUGGGCUGCGGGGCUGCGGCGCCCUCCUUCUGCUUCCGCCAGCCUCGCUCCAAGGGCCUGGAGGGAGCAGGCAUUCACCUCCCGCCCCAGCCCCGCAAACUGCUGCAGUCCCUCCCCGGGGGCACCAGGGCACCCUGUCUCUAUCCUGGUGAAUAUGCUGCGCAAGUCGCCCGGCAUCUGCCUUCUCCUUGCCAGUAAAAAAGCAACACUGCGGGCCUCCGGGGAUGGCAGGGAGCUGGAACGGGGACACACUGUCUUCUGCAACUCAGCAAGUAUCACCUCUGUCGCCUCCGCCUCCCCGUUGGAUUCUGCCCAGCCCCUGGGUUCUAAGAUUGCUGUCCCAUUCCACAGGCAAGCCAUGAGACUGGGGCCAUGCCCAGCCCUGCUUCUCCCACCCCUGGUGGCCAGUGAGUAGUGAGUUCCCAGUCCCUGAGGCUACCCCUUCCAUUGCCCACAGAGGUGAAUGCCGAUACUCGCCCAACUGUUCCUGACGGGCCCUGGGGUCUCACUCUGCCCCCCUUCCCUGCCUGCCGCACUCACAGCAUCAGGUGGCUGCGCUCAAGCUCGCUGCGGUCCAGGGCCCCGCCGGUGAGGUCCGCCUGCUCCGGUGCCUUCUCCCAGUCCUUUAGCGCUGCCUCCGAUGGGGACUCGAAAACUUCAUCCGGGUAUGUGGACAGCUCUUCGUGGAGGAUACCUUCCUGAGCAAACACAUGAGGUCAGGGUGGACACAGGGAGGAAGGGAACGGGGGGUGGGGGGACGCCCUGGGCACUUCUUACCCGGGCAAAGAAGGAUGUGUCCAGCUCAUCGGGGAAAUCAGUUGUGUCCUCCUCCAGAAAGCUAGCUGGAGUGAAGCUUCGACGCUGUGCCCGGCGAAAGGUGCCAUCCCUGACGGAGCGGCCCUGGGGACGGGGAAGUGAGCGUGAGACCCGGCUGCUGGGUCGGCCCCCAACCCCACCUUUGGCCCCUGCACCCACUUUCAUCAGUGCUGCGGCCGCCCGGAAGCUCAUCUUGGCCACCGACUCUCGCUUGCGCCGCCGCGGGAGCCGGUGGAAACCUGAGCGGGAGCUGGAGAAGGAGCAGAGGGAGGCAGCACCCGGCGUGACGGGAGUGUGUGGGGCACUCAGGCCUUCCGCAGUGUCAUCUGCCACACGGAAGGCACGGCCACGGGCCAGGGGGUCUAUGAUCUGGAGAGGAGAGGAGAUGCUGCAGUCAGGACCAUGGGGGGCUCCUAGCUCACCCAGAGGCACAGAGGCCUUGCAAAGACAGCGUGACUGCUGCUCCUGACUCCUCACGGGCUCCUGGACAGCUCUAUGGCCACCACUCCCACCCCACAGCACCUAGAGGUCCUGCCUGGAAUGCUCUCCCAUCCAGACACUGGCCCCCUGGUGCAAUCCCAAGACCAUGUCCCCAUCCCAAGGCACCCCUUUCCCAGAGACUGUUUCAGGUGCCUUCACGAGCAGGCUGUCUGACUGCCCUUCCAGACUGUGAGCUCCCAGAGAGUCCCUUCUGCUCAGGCUGGCUGUGUCCGCAGCCCCAGCCCCUGAGAGCGGAAGGAGGGGCCUGCAGGAGGCAGCAACAGGCAGGCAUACCUUCUGCAUGCCCAGCUGGCACGGCCCCACGUACAGUGGGGGUGGCGUCUCGGUGCUGGUCAGCGACACGUUGUCCUGGCUGGGCAGGUCCAGCUCCCGGAGGACCUGGGGCUUCAGCUUCCCGUAGCGCUGGCUGCAGUGACGGAUGCUCUUGCGCUGCCAUUUCUGGGUGCUGUCACUGUCCUUGCUCACUCCAAACCAGUCGGCGGUCCCCCUGGCAUGGCAGGGACUCAGCAAGGGGCAGCCAGAUCACCCCCUCCCAGGCAGGGGACUUCAAAGGCCCUCCUCCGGGGCAGCAUGCCCUGCCCCAGGCCUGUAGUCACUCCAGGGGCCAGGGUCUGGGUGGGCAAGGUCUAAUAAGAGGAUGAGCGGGUUCCGGCCACCCCCUGAACUGUUAGCCAACUCGAAGUUUCCACUAGACCGCAGCCGGCAGGCCUUGCCCGGUUGAGUGCUUCACAGAGGCCCUCACCCCACCAUCCCUGAGGGGCAGUUGAGGGGAGACACUGAGUCCAGAGAAGGAGCUGAGAGCUCAACCCGAGAGAGCUUGGCCCCAGGACACCACAAAGCUCAGACAGCAGGUGCUUACAGGCCCAGGCAGGCUGUCCACAGCACUUGGACAUGCAAACAAAAACACUGCCAGCACCUGCCAUUAGGAGCCCCAGGGAAUGCCAACCACACUGGCAGCUCCCAAGAGGCCACAUGCCAAGCACAUGCCAGAAAACACCAACACACUCAUGACCUGUAAUGAGAUACCUGAGCAGGGACCAAGAGAGAGACUGGCGCUGUGGGAAGGCCCUGCGGGCAGCCCGGGUACCCAAGAGGGGCAGAGUGUGGACACGCCCGAAGCGUACUUGUCGGCUGCUAAGAGGCCAGAGCAUCCGGGUGGUGGAGACAGAGAAGGAGAGACCCCCAGCUCCCACCCCACGGAGCAGCUGGGCAGUGCUGGUACCUGCGGAUGGUCUGUGUGAUGGACGUCUGGCGUUGCAGCACCGGCC